ensembl:lncRNA
CUUUUCUGUUAAAAAUAACAGUGGUUUGUGAAUGUUGAUGCUUAGUCUAAAUAACAAAUAAUUUAUCUGGAGUGUUUAUGCUGGGAUGUUGUGAAGCUUAGGAGGUGUUACAGAACCAUUUCAAGUAAAUUUCUUUGAUGUACUGAAAAAAAAAUCCAUAUAGAUUAGUUUUAUGCAGGAUUUUGCGGGCGGGAGCGGGACCAAAUAAGAUAUAUUUCUGCGGGAGCACAGGUCUCUAUUUCAUGUCAGCUGCUGUUAUGCUAGUUCCUGAAGGUCGAACCAAAGACAGGUUUGAGACUCAUUUCACCACUAACUAUCUAGACCACUUUCUGCUGACCCGCCUUCUGCUGGACAGCUUGGUGCAUUCUGGGAAGGAUGGCUCAUGCUCGAGGGUCGUCAGCGUCUCCUCCUCUGCACACUUUGCUGCUGACGCCCGUCUGCAGGAUCUUCUCAGCAUGCUCUGGCUGACUGUCGCUUCUCCGGAUCUGGAAGGAGUCGGUGGAUGUUGCGUGUAUGAAGGUCCUCAGCAGUGUCUUGCGAUGAAGAUCUUCAGGCUGGACUCGAUCUGCUGGACCUCCAGGACUCGGAGCUCCUUCAUUAACAUCAGCGGCACUGAAGAACGAAGGACUGACAAUCUCACACCGGAGAACUGUGAGGAGUCGCAUCACUCCUGUCCCGUCAUUUAUGGUUCUUCUGAAGGGCUCGGCGCUGUUGGAGGAUCACUGUGAAUGUCCUUCCCCCAAAAAAAGCUCCUUUUCCAGCCAAAUCUCCUGCUCAGUUCUGAUCUGUAAGUGCUGCUGUACUUCAUUCUCUUCACACAAACCUCUGCUGCGUUUCUUUGGGCUCCUGAUCUGUAUUAUUAACCAAUAACACCUUCUUAAAAGUCAACAUGACAGACUCAUUCCCUUAUAUCCAUGCUCUAAUUGUGAAUGAUGCAUCAGUGCACAUUAUCUCAAGUAAAUAAUAUGUUUGUCUUCGUAAUUGUUCAUCAAAAAGUAGUAACUUGUGUUCCCCAGCUAACUGCAAACGUUCCUAUUAAGACACGCCUUCUCAGAAUAAUGUUUAUGAAACAUUUUUAAUAUAUGUUCUCGUAAUGUUGAGAGGAAACGUUCUUAGAACAACAUUCUCGGAGUGUGCUUAUGAUGUUAUUAGUACGUUAUAUGUUCAAUAACAUUCAUCAGUAACAAUGUGACGUUCUCGUAACAUUAUCAAAAUGAUUGAACAGAAUGUUGCUCUAAUGCAUUUAAUGUCCUUCUGCUUAACCCCCUCAUGCUAAAGUAUUUAAAAAAAACAACACAUCAUUUGUAUUCAACCUAUUGUAUUUAUUUUUUUAUUUUUUAUUUUUUAUAAAUUACUAACUGAUGCACAUUUGAUGCACAUGCACACUAAUUGAUGCACGUUAAAAUAGAUGCAACCCUCCUCUCCUUCUACACGUUUAAGCGUACCUGUUUGCCACCUUACCUUAUAUUUUUCAGUCUCUUUUAUUGGAGCACACGUCCCGUGGUACGUAAACGUCGCACUUGCCUCAACAUCUCUCACUUGUUUAUUCUCCAAUUGAUGCACAUGAGAAAACAGACAGUGAAAUUCUACAUUUAUUUAGUUGAUAUUUUGAUAUGAAAAUAUAGCGCUACCAUUUUUUGUACACUAGAGCGGGCACGUGCUUAUAUAUUUUGCCCAUGACAAACACAUGCUUGGUCGAAUGUUACGCGAUAUAAUUAAAUUAACGGUACAUUUGAGUAUUUUUGUUCACAUUCACACUGCUCUAAUGUUUUUAUUACCAAGAAAAUAAUGCGUAUAACAACAUCAACUGUUUAAAUGUUGAGAGAACAUUCAAAUGUCACAUUCUGAUGAUGUUUUAAAAAUGAUAGAAUGGAACAUUCCUCAAACAUUUGCAUAACCACAAAGAAAUGUUCUUUAAACAUAAAAAAUGGAUGUUUUAAACACUGAGCGAACAUUUAAAUGUAACAUUUUCACAAUGUUUUCUAAAUGAUAGAAUGAAAUGUUCCUUUAACGUUUGCAAAACCAAGAACAAUUCUUAAUUCAUAAAAAUGUGUUUUUUUUUAACAUGUAGUAAUAAUAAUAAUUAAUAAAUUACAUUUUCAUGAUUUCA